UGACGAUGCAGCGACCGCGGCUGGCGGAGAUUGAGCAACGGGGAAAGGCGGGAGGCACCUCCCCUCUUCCGGAUCCAGCACCCGCAGACCUGGUCAGCCCUUCCUGAGAUCUGCCCUGUGGAGCUCUGCUUUGGGGACUGGGUGUGAGGUGAACCAGAAGGAUUUGCUGAGCACCGAGAAAGCACCGGCCUAGGCGCAAAGAGCCGGGGGCCAGCUCUUGGAGGGCCUGGAGACCCCACGUGGUCCCGACCGAAGGACCUGGUGCGUCCAGGUUAACGGAGCUGGGGCGCUCCAAGUCCGGGGGACGAGGGAGCGGCAUGGAGGGGAGCAGGGGCAACUGGGCCUGGUUCCCUUUUUUCCCGCUUACUCUUUGUUUCAGACACAGCCCCCUUUCACUGGCUGGGCACUUGCUUGCAGAGGAGUUGUGUCUUAAAAUGGCGACAGGAAAUCCCACCUGCGCCUCAGCCAAUUAGACUGUCAUAGCGCGAAUUUGCAGGGUGGAAACGCGAGCUUUUUAUUGAUAGGGAAGGUUCAGUCUCCUGUUCAUGGUUCAUCAAAACAGGAAAGGGAAGGUGAAUCAUAAUUCAAAAAUUAACUACCUGGAGCGUUUCAAGUAGACAGUAGUCAUUGUAUUUGGGUGAAUUUUGCUUUUUCAUCACCACUGGAAAAGCAAGAUGAUAACCAAAUUUGAAACUCAUCACGGACUAAACUUCUUAUUCCCUUCGAAUGGCAGUAAAUGGCCUUUAUUAGUUCAACAGUGGCUUCCUGAGAAUCCUAUUUAGAAGGCAUGCUCUUGAGAAAUACUGAAAAACAGAAAGUUCAGAGCAAACCAAAAGGGCAAACACAUGGGCAGCCUAGCUCAGACAGACCUGCAUUCAAUUUCUUCCUCUGACACUUACUGCUUCCCUCAUCUGCUUUACUUUUGUCCUAAUCCUGUUUUCUAAAUUUGUGAAAAAGGGGAGAAGAGUACACACAACAUAGCAAUAUUCUAUAGGUCAUCAAAAAGUUGGUUCUUUCUACCUUACUAGAGGAAGCUAAUUUAUUGUGAAAUUAAUGAUUUUAAGUAGUGUGCACCUUGCCUGGCACAAAUAAUUCUUAUCAAUAAGGUAAGAAAUCUGAAUAGGUAAAGUAGAUGAACUGUGAGCCAUAGCUUAAUAGGCCUGUUGGAAUAUUUACCUUAUUAAAGGCAGAAUGUGUAUUCAUCGCUGUUUGGAGAUUAUCUGAACCAAGCUUGUCUUUUGGUUCCAAUUUUAACUUACUUGCUAGUUUCUGUAUAUCAAAACGACUGCAGUUAUUUAGCACUUUUUGAAUUGGAAUCAACAGUUAUGAACUGAGCUCCUAUGAUAUGGCAGCUAUUGUGCUAAGGACUUUACAUGUAAAUAUCUCAUUUAAAGCUUUCAAUCCCUCAGUUGGGUAUUAUCCUCUUUAAGAAAACAAGUACAAAGUUGAAUUGGCCAUGUUCACCUAAGACAGUAAUUAGUGAAGGGGAAGCGAUUCCCUUUCAGGUCUGAAUUCAAAAUCCGUGCUCAGUCUUCACAGUGGUGCUACAACCAUUUGCAAUCAGACAUUCUUGGGCCUAGAGUUAGAAGGAUCUUCACCCCUUCUCUGGAUUUUAGUUGACAACCUAGAACCAGAGUAAACAUCAACAUGGAGGCUGCUGUUUUCUCAAAUUGAGGCCAGGGAUGUCUAGAUGAUUCCUCUAUUCACUGUGUGCUUACUGAGAGACAAACAGCAGGUUAAACACUUCACAGAUGGUCUCUCGUUUAAUUCUCAUGACAUUCCUGAUAGGGCAGCCUAUCCUAAUCCCUGACUCAAAGGUUAGGGAAUUUAUCCCAAGUCCACACAGCCCUAAGUGGCACAUCCAAAUCUUGCAUCCAGAGCUGACUGGUAAGCCAGUUUUCUGUGGCUGGAUCUAAAACGUUCCCUGAUUCUGGAAUAACCAUCUUUGGAGGGUUAGUGGGUGGAAGGGGUCUCGGGCCACUCUGUCUCUGAAUAGGAACCACUGCCCUAUUUCAGUAGAGUCCAGGGAGUUAGUUUUCUCAGUAAUAGGGUUGUGAGGUCCAAGAGACUUGUCGAUAGUAUCUAAUGUUAUUUGUGGACCUUUCCCAUUUGAACAGAUUUCCAAUGUUAUUAAGGUAUUCAGGACACAUUACCAGGUUUGACUGCAGACUGCCCUAUGGAACUGAGAAAAUUCUGUAUCUGCUCUGAAAGUGAUGCCAGGGAAGGAAUUUGUACUAUGAAAAUAGAAUUGGGUAGCUUUAGGUCACCUGAGAGUUUUCUUGUAGCCCCCAUAGCUUGUUUUUGUAUGGUUCCAGGAAGGUGGGGCAGCUUUGUGAAGAAAAAUCAAUUAUACCCCAAAGAGGAUUCAGCCUGAGCUUAAGCCACAUCUGCUCUCAUCCCAGCUUCACCCUGUACUCACCCGGGUUGCACUUGCUCCCUACCUGGGUUGCCCAGUAGGACAGCUGCAGAAGGGGCCACUACCAGCUGUGCGCUUACAGAGAAUAUGUGUUUUCCUGCACUGGUGUUCAAAGCUUUCCAAAUACAUCUGGUUUGAUACCAGCAGUCUUCUUGUAUAAGAAUUUUUGGGUAAUAAGAUCAAAACUAUUUUCUGAAUACAGUGUUUUUUAAAAAUCUGUGAAGGACUAUCAGUGGAAAAUCUGAUUUUUAACGAUGAUGAAAAAGUAGGAAAGUCAGCUGGUGAGAUUAUCUCAGAACAAGUGUCCUGCAUAUCUCCUACUUGUAACAGAAAACACUGCAGCUGUUAGAUGAACAAAUCCAAUCUCACUAGAAAAUAAAUUGUUUAUUCUGCAGUCUUUUGUUCCUAUUUAUAGGGUCUACCCUAAACAACAAAUGGUCUUUAAGAUUACUGGUUUUCCUUGACUUUCACAUUUCUUUGCCUGAUUAACCCUUUUUAUCAUCCUUGAUGUUCUUUGAAUCUCAUCCAUAGAUGACAAUAUUUUGACACUAGAAAUUAGUAAAGCAGCCAUAGGAAAAAGCGCAUUUGCAAUUAAAAGAGCUCCCAAAUUGUGUUGGUCAGCCUUCUGCAGAUACAUGGCACUGUGUGCCCUAACAUUCCUUGGUGGGUAGCACUGUGUCAGGGGCAGUUGUUGCCUCUUCCACCAUUGAAAUGAACAUUCUACCUCACCAGAUUGAAAAUUGGUUCUUGCAAGAGGUCAAAUACCCCCACUGAUUCUAAACUGAAGUUAAAUUAAAAUCCCAGAACAAAACUAUCUUUUAUUAUCUUAUUAGUUAAUUAAUUUUAGAGACAAGGUCUCAUUCUGUUGCCCAGGUUGGAGUGCAGUGGUUCAAUCAUAAUAGCUCGCUGCAGCCUCAAAUGGAAUCAGGGAUCUUCCCGCCUCAGCUUUCUGAGUAGCUGGGACUACAGGUGCGUGCCACUAUGCCUGGUUAUUCUUUAUUAUUAUUAUUGUAGAAACAGAUUCUCAUUUUGUUGUCUAGUCUGGUCUCAACCUCUUGGCCUCAAGCCACGCUCCUGCCUCGGCCUCCCAAAAAUACUAGGAUUACAGGCCUGAACCACCAUACCUGACCCGAGAUGCUUUAAAAAUGUCUGCUGUCUCUGAUUUUGGCCUGAGUCAUAUUUGUAAGGUCACUUAUUUAUUUUUUAUCUGUUAGGGGAGCUGGGAGUGGAGUUUAUUAGGAAUUGCAACUGUAUGGCAAUACUGUGACAUUUGUUCAAGUUAACUAAAGACCCAGGACCAAAUAAUCAGUCCUGGAAGUUUAAUGUCUAACUUGUCUGAUAUGCAACAUUCUGCAGGUCAACUGUGAGUGCAACUCCCUAGCUUGUUGCAAAAUGGGGGAAAUGAUAUGGACAUAGUUUGGACGUGUGUCCCCACACAAAUCUCAUAUCGAAAUGUAACUCCUAAUGUUGGAGUAGGGCCUGGUGGGAGGUGACUGGAUCAUGGGGGCAGAUUUCUGAUGUAUGGGUUAGCACCAUCCCCUUGUGUGCUUUCCUCAUGAUAGUGAGUGAGUUCUCUGGAGAUCUGGUUGUUCUCACUCUCUGGCUCCUGCUUUCACCAUGUGAAGUGCCUGCUCCUGCUUUGGCUUCUGCUACGAGUAAAAGCUCCCUGAGGCCUCCCCAGAAGCAGAUGCUCCCAUGUUUCCUGUACAGCCUGCCGAUCUGUGAGUCAAUUAAACCUCUUUUCUUUACAAAUCACCCAGUCUCAGGUGUUUCUGAGACUGGGUGAUUUAUAAAGCAAUGCAAGAAUGGACUAAUACAGAUAUCCAUCUGGUGAUCAGAUGACUCAAUGCCUACAGAAUACCUAAGCACAAUGCUUGGUAUAUAAUAAGUGUCCAAUAAAUGGUACCUGUUAUUAUUUUGCACACUUUGCAGAAAUAAAAAUGGGGCAAUUAAGUUUCAAAGUCCAAGUUUAUAGGCACAAAAUAUUCUAUUAUGUUCACUUCAUGCUGAAACAGCUGUUAAGCCCACACCUCCACUCCCAUUUCUCCUACAGUGGGAAUGAGGAGAGAGAAGGUAUUAAAGAAGAGUUAGGCCUCCAAUUCAACUCUCAAUCUUAACUUUAAGGUGGGAAAGAUAAGUUUUGAACCUAUAAGAAUGUGUUAAUUAAGAAGUAGAAGUGGGCCGGGCGCGGUGGCUCAUCCCCGUAAUCCCAGCACUUUGGGAGGCUGAGGCGGGCGGAUCACCCGAAGUCUGGAGUUUGAGACCAGCCUGACCAACAUGGAGAAACCCUGUCUCUACUAAAAAAAUACAAAAUUAGCUGGAUGUAGUGGUGCAUGCCUGUAAUCCCAGCUACUCAGGAGGCUGAGGCAGGAGAAUUGAUUGAGCCCAGGAGGCAGAGGUUGCGAUGAGCCAAGAUCACGCCAUUGCACUCCAGCCUGGGCAACAAAAGUGAAACUCCAUCCCAAAAAAAAAAAAAACAGUGGAAGUGUUCCAAAAUGGAGAAUAGCAUUUGUAUUUACUAAUGGUGGCAAUAUAAAUUGGUACCACUUUUUGUGAGGUAGCAAAUUUAGGGGUUAAGAAUGUGGGCUCUGGGGCCAAAUUUGCUGAGUUCUAAUCUUGGCUCUUACAGCCUGUUAGCUUUGUGACAUUGGGCAAGUUACUUAACUUCUCUGUGCUUCAGUUUCUUCAUAUUUAAAAUGGAAAUAGACAAUAAUACCUACUUCAUAAGGCUUUGUGAAAUAUAUAUGUUAAUACAUGUAAAGCAUUAAAAAUAAUUAACAAUAUAUCUUAAGUAUUCAGUCAUUAAUAAUUAUUAUUACUGGAAAUCAGUUUGGCAAUAAGUAGGAAGAACUUAGAUACCAUUGGUGUCACUUCUGGGACUCUAUACCCUAAAAAUUAUGCACAAAGUAGUUUCCUAAUAACACAGGAUCUACAAGCACAGGCUUUGGAAUGAGUCAAGUAAAGGUAAACAGCAUGUUUAAAAUGUUUCUCCAAAGCAAGUAUAACAUAAAUCCAUAAAUUUACAGUCCAAAUUAAAUAUGCAUUUGAGUAGACUUGAGGGCAGCUGUAACACUUCCAUAAGCCCUUAGAGAUACUUUGAGAAAUAGGAUACAGGGCUGACUGUUCCUUAGUUCUGAUCCUGUGUGAUAAUCCUUACUUUCUCAUUUAUAAGUGGACAUCCAAAGGUGAUACAGCUGGAAAAAGGAUCUUCAUCCAAGACAAAGAGAAACAAAGUCGAUAGGAAAGUGAUGAAAGGCAUCAAGCAAAGUGAAGAUGCAAAUGAGAAAACAAGAUCAGAAGACAGGAAUAUCUGAAACAAGUCACAAAUGCAUAGUAUGACCUCUCAGGUAAGGACCAGGGCUGGAUCAUCCCAGGAUGUUCAAGGCAUACUCUCAGGGGGCGCUGUGUUAUACUGAGAUCUUGCUAGGCAAAAACAUGGUUUUUGUCUUUUCUGUUGAAAAGGUACCUUUUGGGAGGCCAGGCGCGGUGGCUUACUCCUGUAAUCCCAGCACUUUGGGAGGCUGAGGCGGGCGGAUCACCUGAGGUAGGGAGUUCAAGACCAGCCUGACCAACAUGGAGAAACCCCUUCUCUACUAAAAAUACAAAAUUAGCCAGGUGUGGUGGCACAUGCCUGUAAUGCCAGCUACUUGGGAGGCUGAGGCAGGAGAAUCGUUUAAACUCAGGAGGUGGAGGUGGCGGUGAGCCGAGAUCAUGCCAUUGCACUCCAGCUUGAGCAAAAAGAGCAAAAUUCCGUCUCAAAAAAAAAAAAAAAAAAGAAAGAGAAAGAAAGAAAAAGAAAAGAAAAGGUACCUUUUGGGAAGAAGCAUUAAAAAAAUUUUUUUUUUCCGCUGGCAGUAUUUAGGAAGAAGAAUUCUAUUUAUUACUUCAGUAGAGUAACAUGCUUUACUAAAAUAAGCUUCCAUUCUACAUGGUUUUUUUUUUUUUUUUUUAGACAGAGUCUCACUCUGUUGCCCAGGCUGGAGUGCAGUGGUGCGAUCUCGGCUCACUGCAACCUCUGCCUCCUGGGUUCGAGUGUUUCUCCUGCCUCAGCCUCCCGAGUAGCUGGGACUACAGGAGUACACCACCACACCCGGCUAAUUUUUGUAAUUUUAGUAGAGACGGGGAUUUCACCAUAUUGGUCAGGCUGGUCUCGAACUCCUGACCUCAGGUGAUCCACCUGCCUUGGCCUCCCAAAGUGCUGGGAUUACAGGCAUGAACCACUGCGCCUGGCCCAUGAUUGUUCUUAAAAUAAGAAACACCACAUAAUAUUCAGUGUUCCUUAUUUUGAAGGGCUCUUUAUUUGGUUAUAUUUUAGGCAUAUGAAGCUAUUUCAUAAUCCCAAAAGGGGUAUUUAAUGAGAUUUAGAAUUGAUAGUCUUCUGUUGAUAUAUAUUUAUAGUUAUUUAUACACAUAUUUGUAUGUUCUUAAAAUAAAAUGUUCAAAGUUUUUGAUUCAAAUGUAACAUGUCUAAAAUUGAAAUCAUUGUUUUUUUGUUUUUUUUUUUUCACAACUCAAACCCUCUUCUUUUCCCAUAAACACCAUAUUGGGAAAUGGCACCACCAUGGGCAUAGUUGCUCAAGCUAGAAGGAUGGGGGUAUUUUGGCUCAUCCCCUUCACUCUUCACAUCUAAUUAAUUCCCUCUUUUGAGUAACAUUUACUAAGUGCCAGGCCUUCUGCUAGUCUUUCGUGAAGCUUGGAGUUAGAGUGAGAGACCGAUAUUACUCAAAUGAUCUUGCCAGUGAAUGUACAAGUUACAGGUGGAGAUAAGUGCUCUGCAGAAAGGAGCAUGACUCUUGUGAGAGAAACAGAAGACCAUGUUCUGAACUGGGAAUCAAGGAAGACUUCCCUGAGGACGUGACCCUUGUUUGGACUCUAUUCUGUUUAUGCUAAGGAUUUUAAUAAGGAGCAGGUGAUGGACAUGAUCCAGCGUACAUUUUUAGAGGAAUAUCAUGAGUCCUAUCACUUCAUCUCCUAAAUAUUUCUGACAUCUGUUCUCUUUCCUCCAUCCUCACGACCUUCACUGGCAUGGGCCUCCAACAGCUCACUGUGGGGGAAGUUUCCCUCAAAGGGCACUGAUAACACAUCUUAUUAAAACUAUACCACAUCAUUAUACCUCCCCAACAUAAUAUGUACAUGUAUGUAUUUGACAAUAAUAUAUAUGUAUUACUGUCCUAUUUAUUAUAUACAUUAAAAACAUUCACAAAAAAUUAAAAAUCCAAAUGGUAAGAUUUUACAUUUUUGAUUUGAUAACAAUACUUUAUUAUAUUACUAAACAUAUAUUCCUAAUUGUCACUAAGAUAUUAUCAUGUUAGAGAAAUUUGCUUCACUAUACUAUAUCAUUUUUUUAAAUCUUAGUUUAAUACUCUCUGAUACAGCAAUUCACAAGUCUACUUCCAACUCUGGCUUAUUUUGAUUCUUUCAUGUAAUGGCUGUCAUAGCUGAAAAGGGACCUCACAGAGACCCAAUGGAGGCAGUGUCCUAUUGGCUAUACUUCCCAAAUCAAGCCAUUCAUUUCUCAAUCCCAUUCACUAAUUUACAGAGAUUUACUUAUUUUUCAUUGCUAGUCUGCAAAUGUACACUUAAAUGAAGGUCAUCCUUAAUAAUUAUGAAUGUGAACCCAUGAAACCUACUUCAUAAUUCUGAAUUUGUUUUGACAGAUUCUUUUCCACAGUUAGAGGGCCAUUGCUAUACCUGACAUUGUGGCUGACAAAAGAGCUCUUAUUAGGACUGGAAGUGUCAGUUCUACUUUUUCUUCUUUCUUUAUGCUCAUGUUAUUAUUAUUUUUUAAAUCUGAAGUUUAGAGGAAUCUUUUAACUCUACUUGUCUAUUUGGGAAGACACACUAAACUAGAUAAUAUAAUUUAUAAAUUCCCUCAACUAAGCACACAGAACUGUAAUACAUUGAAAUCUGCCAAAGAGAACAAAUCAGUGAGGGCACGACUGUAUUCCUUUGUGUCUUUUUCAAGACACCUUGAGUACUGUAAGUGACAGGGAGCCAUCUGAUGUACAGGCUGAAGGGGGCCACCAUCAACCUAGUAACCUAAACAGAAGUUCCAAUAUUUUCACCCUGCAGUCCACUUUGUAACCUUUUCUUAGCCUUCCACAAGAGUCUCCUAACUGGACUCCCUCCAUCCACUUCUGGGCACCUAAUGUCUCUACUACAGAUUAGAAAUUACUUUCACAGAAGGCCAUUUCUGAAACCCAAACUAGCUUAUGUGUUACCCUACAUUGAAAUUAUUCAGACGCUGUCUUCCCCAGUAAUCUGCAAGUUUCACAAAGGUAGAUGCCAUGUUCUUAAUGGUUUCCCAGCACAUAGCACAUAACAGAAGCUCAAUAAAUAUUUGUUGAAUGAAUAAAUGAGUAAACAGAAUAUUUUUACAGUUAAAUACCUUUAAUUCUUUUAUUUUUUUUAAAUUUCAAGUCCUUAGAGGAGGAAGAAUUGAAAAAAUAUGAAAUAUCAAAUAUACAUUUAGCUAAAUUUUUAAAGUUUAGUAGGCUAUAUGCAUAAAUCAAAUGAAUAGCAAUAUUUGGAACUGUAACUAUUUUUGGAAUCUUGUAUGAAUAAAUUACAAGUUUAAAACAUCAA